rnacentral:rRNA from 1 species
GACGAACGCUGGCGGCGUGCCUAAUACAUGCAAGUAGAACGCUGAAGGAGGAGCUUGCUUCUCUGGAUGAGUUGCGAACGGGUGAGUAACGCGUAGGUAACCUGCCUGGUAGCGGGGGAUAACUUUUGGAAACGAUAGCUAAUACCGCAUAAGAGUAGAUAUUGCAUGACAUUUGCUUAAAAGGUGCAAUUGCAUCACUACCAGAUGGACCUGCGUUGUAUUAGCUAGUUGGUGGGGUAACGGCUCACCAAGGCGACGAUACAUAGCCGACCUGAGAGGGUGAGAGGCCACACUGGGACGGAGACACGGCCCAGACUCCUACGAGAGGCAGCAGUAGGGAAUCUUCGGGAAUGGAAGGAAGGCUGACCGAGCAACGCCGCGUGAGUGAAGAAGGUUGUCGGAUCGUGAAGCUCUGUUGUAAGAGAAGUACGAGUGUGAGAGUGGAAAGUUCACACUGUGACGGUAUCUUACCAGAAAGGGACGGCUAACUACGUG